GGCAGCGUGGCCUAGUGGUUAGGGCGCCGGACUAGGAAAUCCGGCGGUCGCGGGUUCAAGUCCCGCUCUGACCA